rnacentral:rRNA from 1 species
UUGGAGGGCAAGUCUGGUGCCAGCAGCCGCGGUAAUUCCAGCUCCAAUAGCGUAUAUUAAAGUUGUUGCAGUUAAAAAGCUCGUAGUUGAAUUUCGGGAUUGGCACAUCGGUCGUGCCUUAAGGGGCAUGAACUGGUGUAGCCAAUUUCUCACCUUCUGGAGAACCGCGAUGUCCUUAAUUGGGUGCCGCGAGGAACCAGGACCUUUACUUUGAAAAAAUUAGAGUGUUUAAAGCAGGCAUUUUGCUUGAAUACAUUAGCAUGGAAUAAUAAAAUAGGACGGAUGGUUCUAUUUUGUUGGUUUCUAGGACCACCGUAAUGAUUAAUAGGGAUAGUUGGGGGCAUUAGUAUUCAAUUGUCAGAGGUGAAAUUCUUGGAUUUAUUGAAGACUAACUACUGCGAAAGCAUUUGCCAAGGAUGUUUUCAUUAAUCAAGAACGAAAGUUAGGGGAUCGAAGACGAUCAGAUACCGUCGUAGUCUUAACCAUAAACUAUGCCGACUAGGAAUCAGACGAUGUUAAUUUUUUAAUGACUCGUUUGGCACCUUACGGGAAACCAAAGUGUUUGGGUUC